rnacentral:pre_miRNA from 1 species
GACCUACUCCCUCCGUUCCAAAUUACUUAUCGCGGGUAUGGAUGUAUCUAGAUAUAUUUUAAUUAUAGAUAUAUUCAUUUUUGCGACGAGUAAUUUGGAACAGAAGGAGUAGAUC